rnacentral:rRNA from 1 species
AGUCUGGUGCCAGCAGCCGCGGUAAUUCCAGCUCCAAUAGCGUAUAUUAAAGUUGUUGCGGUUAAAAAGCUCGUAGUUGGAUUUCUGUUGAGGACGGCCGGUCCGCACUAUGUGCGUGUAUCUGGUUCGGCCUUGGCAUCCUCUUGAGGAACGUUUCUGCGCUUGAUUGCGUGGAGCGGUAUUCAAGACUUUUACUUUGAGGAAAUUAGAGUGUUCACGGCAGGCAAGCGCCUUGAAUACAUUAGCAUGGAAUAAUAAUAUAGGAUCUUGGUUCUAUUUGUUGGUUUCUAGGGCUAAGGUAAUGAUUAAUAGGGAUAAUUGGGGGCAUUUGUAUUAACGCGUCAGAGGUGGAAUUCUUGGAUUGCGUUACGACAAACUACUGCGAAAGCAUUUGCCAAGGAUGUUUUCAUUGAUCAAGAACGAAAGUAUGGGGAUCGAAGAUGAUUAGAUACCGUCGUAGUCUAUACCAUAAACUAUGCCGACUAGGGAUUGGAGGUCGUUCUUUUUAUGACUCCUUCAGCACCUUAUGAGAAAUCAAAGUCUUUGGGUUCCGGGGGGAGUAUAGUCGCAAGGCUGAAACUUAAAGGAAUUGACGGAAGGGCACCACCAGGAGUGGAGCCUGCGGCUUAAUUUGACUCAACACGGGGAAACUCACCAGGUCCAGACAUAGUAAGGAUUGACAGAUUGAUAGCUCUUUCUUGAUUCUAUGGGUGGUGGUGCAUGGCCGUUCUUA